UACAGAGGGGGCGAGCGUUGUUCGGAAUUACUGGGCGUAAAGGGCGCGUAGGCGGCCUUCUAAGUCGAACGUGAAACCCCCGGGCUCAACCCGGGAACUGCGUCCGAUACUGGGAGGCUUGAAUCCGGGAGAGGGAUGUGGAAUUCCAGGUGUAGCGGUGAAAUGCGUAGAUAUCUGGAGGAACACCGGUGGCGAAGGCGGCAUCCUGGACCGGUAUUGACGCUGAGGCGCGAAAGCCAGGGGAGCAAACGGG
rnacentral:rRNA from 1 species